AGAGUUUGAUCAUGGCUCAGGAUGAACGCUGGCGGUCUGCUUAACACAUGCAAGUCGAACGGAAGUAGCAAUACUUUAGUGGCGGACGGGUGAGUAACGCGUGAGAAUCUACCUUCAGGACGGAGACAACAGUUGGAAACGACUGCUAACCCCCGAUGUACCGCAAGGGCAAAUAUUUAUAGCCUGAAGAAGAGCUCGCGUCCGAUUAGCUAGUUGGGGGGGUAAAAGCCCACCAAGGCGACGAUCGGUAGCUGGUCUGAGAGGACGAUCAGCCACACUGGGACUGAGACACGGCCCAGACUCCUACGGGAGGCAGCAGUGGGGAAUUUUCCGCAAUGGGCGCAAGCCUGACGGAGCAAGACCGCGUGGGGGAGGAAGGCUCUUGGGUUGUAAACCCCUUUUCUCUGGGAAGAACAAAAUGACGGUACCAGAUGAUCAGCUCGAUUUUGCCU
rnacentral:rRNA from 1 species